rnacentral:snoRNA from 1 species
GCGCAUGUUUUGGCCUCGAGCCGCCGUCGGCCGCUCCGUCACAGUGGAGAGUGGACGAGUACAAACAUGCUAGAUUAACGCUGAAAAGCUUGGGAGUUAACAGGGCCACCAGUCUUUCAAGGUCAGGCUGAGUUGGUAGUAUAAUACUCCGACAGAC